rnacentral:rRNA from 1 species
GAUGAACGCUGGCGGCGUGCCUAAUACAUGCAAGUCGAGCGAACAGAUAAGGAGCUUGCUCCUUUGAAGUUAGCGGCGGACGGGUGAGUAACACGUGGGUAACCUACCUAUAAGACUGGGAUAACUUCGGGAAACCGGAGCUAAUACCGGAUAACAUUUAGAACCGCAUGGUUCUAAAGUGAAAGAUGGUUUUGCUAUCACUUAUAGAUGGACCCGCGCCGUAUUAGCUAGUUGGUAAGGUAACGGCUUACCAAGGCGACGAUACGUAGCCGACCGGAGAGGGUGACCGGCCACACUGGAACUGAGACACGGUCCAGACCCCUACGGGAGGCAGCAGUAGGGAAUCUUCCGCAAUGGGCGAAAGCCGGACGGAGCAACGCCGCGUGAGUGAUGAAGGGUUUCGGUUCGUAAAACUCUGUUAUUAGGGAAGAACAAUUGUGUAAGUAACUGUGCACAUCUUGACGGUACCUAAUCAGAAAGCCACGGCUAACUACGUG